rnacentral:rRNA from 1 species
UACGUAGGCAGCGAGCGUUGUUCGGAGUUACUGGGCGUAAAGGGUGUGUAGGCGGUUGUUUAAGUUUGGUGUGAAAUCUCCCGCUUAACUGGGAGGGUGCGCCGAAUACUGAAUGACUUCGAGUGCGGGAGAGGAGAGUGGAAUUCCUGGUGUAGCGGUGAAAUGCGUAGAUAUCGAGAGGAACACCAGUGGCGAAGGCGAGUCUCUGGACGACUCCUGACACUGAGGCACGAAAGCUAGGGGAGCAAACAGG